rnacentral:sRNA from 1 species
GCGGAGGAAAAGAAACCAACAGGGAUUGCCUCAGUAACGGCGAGUGAAGCGGCAACAGCUCAAAUUUGAAAUCUGGCCCUUUCAGGGUCCGAGUUGUAAUUUGUAGAGGGUGCUUCGGCGUCGGCCGUGGUCUAAGUUCCUUGGAACAGGACGUCACAGAGGGUGAGAAUCCCGUACGUGGCCGCCGGCCUUCGCCAUGUGAAGCCCCUUCGACGAGUCGAGUUGUUUGGGAAUGCAGCUCUAAAUGGGAGAUAAAUUUCUUCUAAAGCUAAAUAUUGGCCAGAGACCGAUAGCGCACAAGUAGAGUGAUCGAAAGAUGAAAAGCACUUUGGAAAGAGAGUCAAAAAGCACGUGAAAUUGUUGAAAGGGAAGCGCUUGCAGCCAGACGUGCCCGCAGUUGCUCACCUGGGCUCUCGCCCGGGGCACUCUUCUGCGGGCAGGCCAGCAUCAGUUCGGGCGGUCGGAUAAAGGCCUCUGUCACGUACCACCCUCCGGGGUGGCCUUAUAGGGGAGGCGCAACACGGCCAGCCUGAACUGAGGACCGCGCAUCAGCUAGGAUGCUGGCGUAAUGGCUGUAAGCGGCCCGUCUUGAAACACGGACCAAGGAGUCUAACAUCUAUGCGAGUGUUUGGGUGUCAAGCCCGGGCGCGCAAUGAAAGUGAACGUAGGUGGGAACCCUUCGGGGCGCACCAUCGACCGAUCCUGAAGUCUUCGGAUGGAUUUGAGUAAGAGCAUAGCUGUUGGGACCCGAAAGAUGGUGAACUAUGCCUGAAUAGGGUGAAGCCAGGGGAAACCCUGGUGGAGGCUCGCAGCGGUUCUGACGUGCAAAUCGAUCGUCAAAUUUGGGCAUAGGGGCGAAAGACUAAUCGAACCAUCUAGUAGCUGGUUCUG